GUUUAUGGGCAUACCCCUCUGGGUAUGCUUGAUCUCAUCUGAUCUCUUAAACUAAGCAGGGCUGGGACUGGUUUGUGCCUGGGUUGGGGAAUAUGUGUCUAGGCAACCUGAAUAUAUAAUUC
ensembl:rRNA nuclear encoded rRNA 5S 214